AUCAGGUGAAGUGAACAGUUGGACGAAUCUGUGGUGGAAACUACUGGUGCAUCAACUGUCUUUGGCAUUGCAGGCGCAUACUAUUCGAGUAUAAAGCAGCUUUGAGUGGACAUCAAGACUAGAAAAGCGCUUUAUAGAUACAGACUAUUUACCUUUUAUUGGUGGAGAGAGCAGCUUCGGCACAGGAGCCAUGGCUCCUUUUUGGAUUAACCUGGAGAAACACACGCUGAUCCUCGGCAUCUCCGAAGUGCUGGAUGACCGUUAUGCUGCUGAUUUACCUGUGACGAGAAGAAUCCUGAAACUCUCCGUCACCAACAAAAUGAUGGGUCCUCUGAGUCGCACUAGCCUCCUCUCCUUGAAAGACUCCAUCCUGAGCCUGUAUCACAACCUCUGCACAGGCUCCAAGGAAUACCCCAUUAUUCCUUAUGCUGGAGUUUCCCACACAGCUCAGAGGAGCUCUUUUGUCAUAGAGGAGGACGUGGAGAGCAUUACACUGUCCGCCAUCUUCACUCCAGUCAUUCCUAGGUGGUUGCAGCAGGGAUGGCUGAGGGUGGAACGCAGGAACCGUGUCCAACACCUGGUGGUGGACGGGAAGCCUGUGACCAGAGUCAUCUCUCCCGUCUUCCUCUCUGACGGCUCUGAGAGGAGAAACCUCUGGAGAGUGAGUGACUACGGUGCAAACGGACACAUGAUCGUGUCCGUUCUGUGCAAGUUUACAGCAAAGUCUGCAAACUACGCAGAGGCUCGGAGGACGAGGUCACAUCGUGAGGUAGAGAGCAGCGUUCAGUCUACACAGAGAUGCUUGCGUGUGUGAUUGGAUGGUCCCUAACAGGACCUGCAUGCUCCACACACUUUACCUUGUUGCUGCAUUUGUUGAACAUUUUACUCCUCCAAGCUAAAGCCUUAGCGUCUGGCAGGGCUAGCAGUGUCCCAGGUCGCGACUUGCACCGGGACUUCUGUUGAACAAAGGCUUGGAGGAGAACAUUUGCAGACUAUAAACUUUGUAUAUGUGUAAAUAUCUUUCUGGUUGUGAUGCACAGGUCAGUGUUUUUAGUGCAUCUUGCACUGGUGCUUUUUGCACUUUUCUUUAUUUCUUGGAGCUGACCUGUGUAUCUGUUUAUGGAGAAGAGAACAGCGGCAACGGUUUUACUCCUCACUGCUGAAGCCUUAGCGUCUGGCAGGGCUAGCAGUGUCCCAGGUAGCGUCUUGCACCGGGAUCUCGAUCAGCAGAGGCUUGGAGGAGAACAUUCUAUAUUUGUAGACUAUAAACUUUGGGUAUUUGUAAAUAUUGUUUUGGUUGUGAUGCACAGGUCAGUAGUUUGGUGCAUCUUGCACUGGUGCUUUUUGCACCUUUCUUUCUUGGAGCUGACCUGUGUGUCUGUAGAUGAGAGGGAGGAGGUAAGAUGAAAAAGGGAGAUGAGAGAGAAGAGGUGACAAAGGUAACAAGUAAUUCUUCAGAGACAAAAAGUAAGUAUGUUUCCUUUUAUUUCAAGAGGUGAAGAUGCUCAGUUCAACUUCAGUUCAGACUGAAAAAUCAGGUUUCCUGUUUUAUUAACUAAUCAUUUCAUUUAUCAUUUUCAACUGUUGAUAUUUAAUUAUUACUGCCAUAUGUGAUUUUUUUUACCUUCAGUUGUGUUGUAUUUUCAGAUGAGAACAAUGAUGCAGACUCAGGAUCAGAGAUGAGACAACAGCUGCAGCACCACCCUCUGGACACCCGAGAACAGUUCACAGAGGGAUGGAGAGCAGGAAGAAGAAGAGGAAGUUCAUCUCUCUGGGCGACCUCCUGUCCUGCAUAUCCGAGUCGUCGACGGUGAAAAAUAUGCAGAUGAGUUCCAGCAGAAAAGGAUGAGAAGAAGAAGGGAAAACUUCAGCUCGGUGCAGCCACAGCCCGUCGGAUGCUACUACACUGGUUCACCAGCAAGCUCCGCCUCCUGCAGUCAUUACCUUGCAGCCUUUGACGGAGAAGACUCCAAUCAAGACUUCCGAUUUGGGGAAGUCGAUUAAUUAAAUCUUUGGCCACCAUGGUGCAUGGGGCGACGUGUUCAUACUCCAGAGGCAGCAGUGGGAUGAAGAAGUCCACCAGGUUCUUGUCGAUCAAAGUGGUACGAAAGAAGCCACCUAUCAUUGUGUUUAGACUUUACUGUUUGAAUGCUUUGAAACUGCUUACAUGAUGCCGUUUUUGGUAAUUGGCAUUGUUUGCUGUAUGUACAUGCACUAAAAGUGAUGUUUGCAUGUGUGUGUGUGUUAAACACUGCAUCAAAGUUUCAAA